GGUCAGUGCACAGGUGCAUACAGUUCAGUUUCUGCCAGACACUCCCUGUGCCCCAAACUUUCCAAAUUUGCACCUAUCAAUCCCAAAACUGGAUUACUGUGGUGGUGUGUUCUCAGCAAUAACAACUGCAAGAAACUGUCUUUAUUCUGGAAGUUCUUCCACCAUAUCACUUGACAGCAAUUGUACCUCCAUCCAUCUACAGCAUCUGAUCCAUUUUUCCUCCCUCCUGUUUCUGUUCACAGGUCCAUUUUUCAUUCUUCCUGGAAUGUAGAGCAUUUGGGAGUAUGGGUGGGAAACCAAAAUCUUUCAACACUCACUAAUAGAAAUUUUUUUUAUUAAUUAACUUUGUGGGAAGAAAAGACAGAGAACUGAUCUUCUGCUCUGAAAUCAUGAAUCACUGUGGAAGAGAAAACAUGUCCUCUGAGGUACCUGAGGCCACUUCAGACAGAAUGAGUGACUGAGCUGCUUCCUUGGAAAGUCCUGAGUCAUCAAACACAGCAGUUUAAUCCCCAGGAAAUGGGAAACACAUUGGCAUGAUGUUCACUUGCAUGGAGCAUGAGGUCCAGAGAAGGGUGAAACUCCUAAGACUUUGGAGAUCAGUUUAGCUUGAGGAACUUAUGCAUUGUAAAGAGCUUCCUGAAAGCUAAAUUACUAUACUCAUGCUGAAUCAAGCAGCUCUAUCGAUUGCAGCACAGCCCACAGACCUCUUGCUGAAGGAAAAGAAGUCAGCUCUGGAUGUGGAAAAGCUCUCUGUCCUAAUGUGUGAGGUCUCUUUGCCUGACAACGUGAUAGUGAAGCCACCUAAAACCAGCCAGACACCUCCUGCAAGCGAGCUGGGCCAGUUGUCUGAAGAUGCCCAUGAGCACUGCUCUGGAAAAGCCAGUCUUUUUACUUGGACUAUAGAAGGCAUCUGCACAACUGUGUGAACAUACUCUGAGUUUUCCACCAGUUCCCUCAUGGCUCCUCACAACCGAAGAUGGGAGAGGAUCAGCAACCAUCUCAUAUUAACAAUAACCUCUAAAAAAGCUACUGGCACUGAUGGAAGCCAACAACUUCAGCGCAAGUUGGAUCAGCUUUAUCUCUAAUAACUAUAAACCAAAAUUUUCAUCUCAUACUCAUGACCUGAGGUGAAAAGAUCUGCGUUAGAGUUGGCUAGAAGCAGAAAAAGGAUGAAAAAUCAGCUUCUCCUGUGGAAACAAGAACGCUGAAAUUUGGCUAGGAAAUAAGACAGAGACCUCAUUUAAAUGGCCAGGAAAAAGAAAAUCUGCAGGAUGAAGGAAGUCUGUUUCACCAGCUAAGGACAAUUUUGUGCCAUGUUUUAUUUUACACUAAUGAAGAUUGCCAAGAGCCUAUUGAUCAGUCCUUCUUCCCUGCUUUACCUGACCAGAUAUAUGGAGACGCUCAGGGAAUACUGAAUUGCUCUCUACCUGCCCAACACAUUUUCAAUGAUGCCUCUGCUACAUUAAAUGUGGUCCUUCAGGAAAAAACUGAAAUUCCACCUGAAGAACAGCAGCCUGACACAGAGGUCUGCAAUGGAGAAGCAACGAAAACCCCACGGAGAGCGAAAGGAAAAACAGCUCUGAGGGAAAAUGAGCUGAAUGAAAUGUUUCUUUAAAGAAACCAUGGCACUUCUGAGCUGGUAUAAUGAAGCAGCUGUGAUAUAAAUAAUGUCCCCAAGUGGAAAAAACCCACAAAAACACCAGCCAUUCAGGCUCCAUAUGUUUCCAAACUCACACAAUGGAUGCUUUACAAUGCACUUUUUGUCUGGAAAUUGGGUGGGAAAGGGAGGUUCCUCACCCACCUCCUAUACUAAUGCAAUAAUCUUGCUUAGUCACAGAAAAAGGGAGAGAAAAAAGGAGAGAAAGUGAUUAAUAUACUGUGGGCAGCUGCUUACUUUCCAAUUGGUUGUCCAGGAGGGGUGUGCUCCACUUCAAAUCCUGCUUGUCU